UCUGUCUCUCAAUACCACACAGCGGGCAGCUUCCAGGACAGAGAUGAUUUCCUCCCGGCUGUGGAGGCUGGAAGUCAGGGAUCCGGGUGCCGGCAGGGCUGCUUCUCCCGAGGCUGCUGUCCGGGGCUUACAGGCGGUGUCUUCCUGCUGUGUCUCACGCGGCCUUUCCUCCAUGCAUGCACAAUCCCGGCCUCUCUUUCUCUUCGGUAAAGCCACAGUCCUGUUGGACCAGGGCCCACCUGUGUGACCUCUUUAAAGACCCUGCUUCUAGUAGGACUCACACUGGGGUUAGGGCUCCAUCGUCAGAAUUUUGGAGGAUGUAAUUCAGCCCUAACAGAUGGUGCUGCUAGGGACGUUGUGAAGCUGAAAUCAGCGUGUACGUGUGGAUGUGGUUUCCUGGCGCACAGUCUACCUGAGAGUAUUCUAAUUUAUUUCUGAAAGAUGGAAAAAUGAGCAGAAUCCCGGGACCCCCACUGAGUCCCCACUUGGAGAGGGGCAGCGUUAGAGCAGGGGAAAGAAAACCAAAGUCCCAGCCCUAGGAACGUCACCUUCCCAUGAAAAAGCACAAACACCACAGGGGCUGAGGAGCGACGUGGCAGAGGCGGAUUGUGGCCCUUCACCUGAACGAAGAGCCAGCUAUUUGCUAAGAAGCUUCCACCUGAAAAAGAUGGGGAGGGCGCGAGGGGCUUCCUCCCCACCUGGGAGCUGUUUCUCCCUGAGACCCCUGAGAGAUGAGAUGUGAAGCUGUUCAAGGACAGUGACGGGGAGAGAGAAGCGGCCCGCAGACCCUGCUUUCCCGUCUUCCCACCCACACAGCUCCUCCCUGGAGGACGAGGCCAGGCCCCCAGGCUGACAAGUAGACCGGGACCGGGAUGGCGAGGCCCAGGAGACAGUGGAGGAGAAGCCCCUGGGCGCAGAUGCACUUGGGGAGGCUCCUCCCAUCUUCGGGAAAGACUUAUUAGUGAUUCAGUCCAUCAGCUGGAGGAGGCACGCGGCCUGCUGCUGUAGACAAGUUAAAACCUGAGAGUGAGUUGAGAGCAUUUGGCCUUUAGCCAUCUCUGAAUCACACGGCCAGAUGUUAAAGCAAAUCCAAGGUCAUCGCUCACACUUGGCACCUGUCUCCGGCGAGUAGAGCUCAGCUCCUGCCCUUGGAGAAGUGCGGGACCCAGUCCCUGCCAUAGGGGGUUCUGAGAAACCCUUGCGCUGGCUGCUUGCUGAUUGUGAGGGUGCUGUGAGCGCGUCCAGCCUGAUCUGGCAGCCUGGACCUCCUCGCGAGGGGACAGAGCGGGGACCACAGCUGACCGAGUCCCCGUUGCCCCUUUUCUAUUCCCUUCCUCU
rnacentral:lncRNA from 1 species